GGGGGAUGGAGAGGAGAGUGUCUAGAACAGCUGGUAGAAGAUAACCAAUGGGAGAUGGGAGACAGAGGAUGCUCCUCUUCACCUACGUAUACGCAUGGUUGCUAGGGUCCAAGUUAGCCUAACAACCAGGAAGUGGUUUGGAUUAGAAGAGUCAGGAGACUGGAAGAUGAAGCAGAGAGGGCCUCAAUAGAAAGGCCCUCCCAUACCCAUCAUCCAUUGUAAUGCUGAAGCCACUAGGAUGAGUGAUGAGUGGAACAGUUGGCAAAUGGCAGUUGGAAAAAUGGCAGUUGACAUCUACAGCUAAAGAGCAGCAGAGGAA